rnacentral:rRNA from 1 species
AUGAAGAUCUCGAGCUUGCAGAGCGCGAGCGGCGGCGGCACCAGCGCCGCCAGCGGCUCGAGCACGGGCUUCGGCUCCGGCUCCGGCGCCUCCCGCUCCUUCAACCUCCGGAACCUGUCCAAGCUCAUGCUGCCGCCCCUAGGCUCCAGCCUCACCCAGUCCACUUCCGACUCCGAUAAGAGGGUCGUCUCGCCCCUCGACUCCAGAUACAGGUGCUGGGAGACGUUCAUGGUGAUCCUGGUGGCCUACUCGGCGUGGGUGUACCCGUUCGAGGUGGCCUUCAUGGAGGCCAGGCCCAAGGGGGGCCUGGAGGUGGCCGACAUGGUCGUCGACAUCUUCUUCGCCGUGGACAUCGUCCUCACCUUCUUCGUCGCCUACAUCGACUCCAGGACGCAGCUCCUCGUCCGCGACAGGAGGAGGAUAACCUUCAGGUAUCUGUCGACGUUCUUCAUCAUGGACGUGGCGUCGACGAUCCCGUACCAGGGCAUAGCCUACCUCGUCAACGGCGAGGUGAGGGAAGGCAUGGUGUACAGCCUGCUCGGCCUGCUCCGACUCUGGCGUCUCAGGAAGGUGAAGCAGUUCUUCACAAGGCUGGAGAAGGACAUCAGGUUCAGCUACUUCUGGGUGCGCUGCGCGCGGCUCAUCGCGGUGACGCUGUUCCUGGUGCACUGCGCCGGGUGCCUCUACUACCUGCUGGCGGACCGGUACCCGGACCGGGACAAGACGUGGAUCGGCGCCGUGAUCCCCAACUUCCGGCAGGAGAGCCUGUGGAUCCGCUACAUCUCCUCCAUCUACUGGUCCAUCACCACCAUGACCACCGUCGGCUACGGCGACCUGCACGCCCAGAACAACCUCGAGAUGAUCUUCAACAUCUUCUACAUGCUCUUCAACCUCGGCCUCACCGCCUACCUCAUCGGCAACAUGACCAACCUCGUCGUCGAGGGCACCCGCCGCACCAUGGAGUUCCGGAACAGCAUUCGCGCGGCGUCCAACUUCGUGUGCCGGAACCACCUGCCGCCGCGGCUGCAGCAGCAGAUCCUGGCCUACAUGUGCCUCAAGUUCAGGGCGGAGAGCCUGAACCAGCAGCAGCUCAUGGACCAGCUGCCCAAGCCCAUCUGCAAGAGCAUCUGCGAGCACCUCUUCCUCCCCGUGGUCAAGGAGGUGUACCUCUUCAGGGGCAUCUCCAGGGAGGCGCAGCUGCUGCUGGUCACCAAGACCAAGCCGGAGUACAUACCGCCCAAGGAGGACGUGAUCGUGCAGAACGAGGCGGCGGACGACGUGUACAUCGUCGUGUCCGGCGAGGUGGAGAUCAUAUACUUCAACGGCGAGCGGGAGGAGGUGAUGGGAAAGCUGGGCACCAUGGACAUCUUCGGCGAGGUGAGCGCGCUGAGCGACCGCCCGCAGACCUUCACGUUCCGGACCAGGACGCUCAGCCAGCUGCUGCGGCUCAAGCAGGCCACGCUCAGGGAGGUCAUGCAGAGCAAGCCCGACGACAGCGCCCUCAUCGUCAGGAACUUCCUCAAGCAUCAGAUUGAGGUGCAUGACAUGAAGGAGCUGCUGGGCGAGAGCACCGGAGCGGGCGGCAGCGGCAACAUCGUCCCGUGCAAUCUGCUGACGGUCGCCGCCACGGGGAACGCUGGCUUCCUUGAGGACCUCCUCAAGGUCGGGAUGGACCCCGACGUCGGUGACUCCAAGGGAAGAACCGCGCUGCACAUCGCGGCGUCAAAGGGGUACGAGGGCUGCGUGCAGGCUCUGCUCAUGCACGGGUGCAACAUCAACAUCAAAGACGCGCAGGGCACCACGGCGCUGUGGCACGCCAUCGCGGCGAGGCACCAUAAGGUGUUCAGCAACCUGUACCACGUCGCGCGCGUCUCGAACCCGCGCGCCGGCGGCGACCUCCUCUGCCUCGCCGCGCGGCGCGGCGACGUCGACACGCUCCGCGAGCUCCUCAAGCGCGGCCUGGACCUCGACUCCGAGGACCACGCCGGCGCCACGGCGCUGCGCGUCGCGCUGUCCGAGGGCCAGGCGGACGUGGCCAGGUUCCUCGUCAUGAACGGGGCCAGCGUGGACAAGGCCAGCCUUGACGAUGACGACGGCUCCGCCCCGCGGCAGACCACGGUGUCGGCGGGCGAGCUGCGGGAGCUCGUGAAGAUGCGGGAGGUCGGCCACCCGAUCACCAUCUACGACUCGCCGGCGAGCACCGUCACGGCCGCCAGCUCGUCGUCCGGGGAGCUUCGUCAGGGGAGGUUCCCAAUCCCAGUCAGCACGAGACCGGACAGCACGCACUGGCCUCGGGUGAGCAUCUACAAGGGCCAUCCGUUCGUGAGAAACCACAGCUCCGAAUCCGGCAAGCUCAUCAAUCUUCCCGCCACGAUGGAGGGGUUCAAAACCAUCAUCGGAGAGAAGCUGAAAGUCGACGCGGAGAAGGCACUGAUCCUGAACGGCGAAGGGGCGGAGAUCGACUCGUUGGACGUGAUCCGGGACAACGACAAGCUGUUCAUAGUCACCGAAGAGCACAUGAGGAUGUUGGCGUCAAUGGAUUCCUCUGUUGCUUUAUCGCACACAUCGUCCGUAGGUUCAGCUGUUUCAGCGGCACAUGCCAUAUAA